rnacentral:tRNA from 1 species
AGCGGCGUGGCUCAGUGGAAAGAGCCUGGGCUUUGGAGCCAGAGGUCAUGAGUUUGAAUCCCAGCUCUGCCA